CCUGUAUACAUAUGCAGGCACUGAAAACAGACUAGAAGUAGAUACACCAAAAUGUUCACAGGGGUAAUCAGUGCAUGGUGGAGUUAGGGAUAAUUAUUUUAUUCAUUUUGCCUGUCAGUAUUUUCAAUAAUGGCCAUGCAUUACUUUUAGAGAUGGGGGGAAUUAACUCUAGAAGAACAUUAAAGCUUGCCUCUCCCCUCACGUCUUCUUUGGCUUGAGUCACAUCUCACAGAGAGAAAGACCAAGGCACGCUGCACCAAUGAGCUCCCCGAAGUCAUGCUUCCCCUCCCAUGUCGUGCUGGCAUCCUUUCUCCGAGGAAGAGAAUGAGUUUCCAGACAGCAGAGCGGGCCCUUCUCAGGGCCAGGAUGGUCCUGGCAGCAGUCGUUCUCUAACACAUCACGACAUGUGUUUCCAGUAACUCUGUUUGUGGCCGCUUUCUUCUCUUAUCACUCCUCCUGUGACCUUUGCUGGUUGCAGACUUACCGACUGGAGCCAGGUGGAUUUGUUUGAUUUUUGUUGAUGGUUAUUAGGAAGAGGAAGUGCCAGAAGGGAUUACCUCAAGUUUAAACCUAUUUCCAGCAGAGUCCCAGGGCCUUUAAUUACACAUGUUGGGUCUGUUUGGUAAAGAAGUGGUCAAAGAUGUGCUUUUUAUCUCCCUAGGAAUCUCCUGCGACUGGCAGCAUUCCAUUUGUGCCUGAUGUUCCUGUAAACUCCAGCCACAACCCCUGUGGGGAGGAGGGGCUGCUGUGGAGAAUGAGAUAUGAAGUUGAAAGCUGGCUGCGUAUAUCACUCGCGAACCUUCCAGACAACUGAAGAAUAACAAUGAAUACUGCCAUCUUCCCAGAGCUCCAGCACUAAUCUUUGUUAAGGCUUAGAGGAAACCACUUUUCUCAGUUUUGAUGUCUAUGAAUCUGCAAUCACUAAUGAAUGGGGAAAAGUCUGUGAAACAUUUAUUUCCUACAUCAAUGAUUAAAAUUAGCUGUUUUUAGAGCAGAAUGAACAACAUACAAAGCAGGUUGGACGACAUCUAUUUCACACAAUUGCAUCUCAGUUUCUGACCUAGGUAAAAUCCUGCAUAAAUGUAGGAGAAUCCUCUAUAUUAAUAUGUUCUGUAUUCAGGUUUAAGAGAUGUGCAUUUACAUUUACAUUUUAUUAAUUCAUCAACUGAUACUUAAGAAUUAAAACUCUCAAAAUCAGAAGACGAUGCUUUUUGGUAAAGAAAAAAAGAAACAGGCUAUAAGUAAAAACAGGUAUAAAAAUUAACACAAAACCUUUGAGUAAUGUAUUUAUCCUAUAAGCGGAAAAUUCUGAGAAUAAUGGAGGACUGAGGGGAUUAAAAUGCCACGCAGUAGAUGGACUAUUUCAGAUUUUAUAGUCAGGGAAACUGGCUUCGGGAGGACAGCUCUCAAUUCAUGUACUUUACGUAAGAGCAGUUCUUUCUAUAGGCCAUAAAGUUGUAGGUGAUACAAUCAACUGGGUUAUAAAAUAGCUUCUUUUUAGAAUGGAGAUGAUACAAAAAUCAAUUUCUACAACCAUCAUUUCCUCCUGAACACCUCUUUCACUUUCAACCUAAACUUACUCUCCCCUUUGGGAAUUCCCAGUGUAUUUCUUUGAGAUGUCUUCCACAUUAACAGUAGAGCCUACAAAGAACCAACAUGCAGAGGCUACUUGUCAAAGGGCACUUUCUGUAGGUAGUCUAAAAGAACACAAUUAUACACAUACACAAACGUGUACAGGUAUACGCAAAAGGGAAAAGGAGAUGCAAGAGUACUGUACUACUGCUUUAACAAAUGCUCUCACCCAAUCCACCUUAUCCAUCUUACAGGAUAGAAACACUAUUUAGGGUUUAAAAUACGCAAAAAAACAUUUUUUUUAAAUAUAUAAACCAUCUAUGGAAGCAUAUUUUGCCUUCUGUUAUGACCCUCAUCAUUCCUCAACUCAUAUUCUAAAAGCCUGAGAGGUGAAAAUCUUCUGAACAGCUGAACCACCCACAGAACCUGAAAAUUAUUAUACAUUUUGCACAUGAUUAACCUAUAUUCACCACUGAGGUUUAACCAAGAACCAGAUUCACAUAGGUAAUAGGGGUCACAACUACUUUUUCAUAAAAUAUACCCUCCUACUGGCCAGGUGAGGUGGCUCACGCCUGUAAUUCCAGCACUUCAGAUUGCUUGAGCCCAGGAAUUCAAGACCAGUCUGGGCAACAUGGCAAAACCCUGUCUCUACUAAAAAUACAAAAAUUAACUGGGUGUGGUGGCACAUGCCUGUAGUCCCAGCUACUUGGGGAGGCUGAGGUGGGAUGGCUUGAGCCUGGAAGGUGAAGGUUGCAGUGAGCCAAGAUCACGACUUUGUACUUAAGUCUGGGCAACAGAGCGAGACCCUGUCUCAAAAAAAAAAAAAAAAAAAAAAAAAAAAUCUAUGCAUCCAUCUAUCUAUACAAACACACAUCCUCCUACUUUACAUAAAUGUACAAUUCCAUGUCUAUUCUUAGCAUGUUUUCAGUUAAAAUUAGAUUACUGAUGUUUACAAGAAGCACGGUCAAAUGAUUUUUUUCAUUUUAUGUCAAUGUUUACACGCCAACCCUCCAGAAGGUUGGGACAAUGGGAAGAGGGCAUUGGACUGGAUGUAAAGCCUGAGGCCAGGGGUCUAGUUUUGUUAGGGUCUAGAUUCUCACCCCAGAAUCUUACCCCCUCAGGCAAUCACUCAAAUUGAAAUAUCACUUCUAUUGGUCCUGAUACUCUACUUCAGUAGUUAUCUUACUUCUUCCUUUGAAUGUAAACCAUUUAUAGCUAAGUAGAGUAUAUUUUAGUAUAAGAACACAGUGAAGGCUGGGUGCGGUGGCUCACACCUGUAAUCCCAGCACUUUGGGAGGCCGAGGCGGGCGGAUCACGAGGUCAAGAGCUCGAGACCAGCCUGACCAACAUAGUGAAACCCCGUCUCUACUAAAAAUAUAAAAAUUAGCUGGGCGUAGUGGCGCGCGCCUGUAAUCCCAGCUACUUGGGAGGCUGGGGCAGGAGAAUCGCUUGAACCUGGGAGGCGGAGGUUGCAGUGAGUGGAGAUCGCAACACUGCAUUCCAGCCUGGGCGACAGGGCGAGACUCCGUCUCAAAAAACAAACAAACAAAAAACACAUAGUGAAGACCAAACAAAAUUUCAUCUGUACUAAUAAUGACUCACGGUGGGCCAGAGCUCAAGUCAGUAUGUAAUAAGAAAGCAAAGGGAAAAAAAAAAUCAUUUACUUCACUAAAACUUCUGUUGUUUCUUUAAAACUCUAAACAAAAUUGACCCUAUAAGUAAAGAUAUUCAUUCUUAUCAUUUUUUAACAAGCAAAUUUUAAUAAUGCCUUUUAUUUCUAUACAAAGCAAUGUAACUUUCU
rnacentral:lncRNA from 1 species